UCCCCUUUAGCUCAGUUGGUUAGAGCAUCUGACUGUUAAUCAGAGGGUCGCUGGUUCAAGUCCAGCAGGGGGAG
rnacentral:tRNA from 2 species